GAACCCUGACGCAGCAACGCCGCGUGGAGGAUGAAGCCCUUUGGGGCGUAAACUCCUUUCGACCGGGACGAUWAUGACGGUACCGGUGGAAGAAGCACCGGCUAACUCUGUGCCAGCAGCCGCGGUAAUACAAGGGUGCGAGCGUUGUUCGGAAUUAUUGGGCGUAAAGGGCGCGUAGGCGGUGCGRUAAGUCWCCUGUGAAAUCUCCGGGCUUAACUCGGAGCCUGCASGCGAAACUGKCGUGCUGGAGUGUGGGAGAGGUGCGUGGAAUUCCCGGUGUAGCGGUGAAAUGCGUAGAUAUCGUGGAGGAACACCUGUGGCGAAAGCGGCGCACUGGACCAYAACUGACGCUGAGGCGCGAAAGCUAGGGGAGCAAACAGGAUUAGAUACCCUGGUAGUCCUAGCCCUAAACGAUGAUUGCUUGGUGUGAUGGGUACCCAAUCCCACUGUGCCGYAGCUAACGCGAUAAKCAAUCCGCCU
rnacentral:rRNA from 1 species